CAGGAGCGAUCUCCUGCGCUUACAAGGUGCCUCUGGGGAGGUGCGUGGGGAGAUGGGUGCCGACGUUCGCAUUCGGUCUUGUGGAAUCCAGAAAACAUCAGGCAGGGCAAACCACUGUGAGGACGGAGGUGGAGGUCCUGAUCCCUGGAGCGGCUGAUGCCAGGCUGCGUGUCUCUGCUCAUCACUUGACAUGCCAGGUGAGAGUAGUCCAGGUGUGCCUAGGCUGCGCUGGGGUUUUUUUUUCUCCCCAUAUAACAAUUUUAA
rnacentral:lncRNA from 1 species